rnacentral:lncRNA from 1 species
CCUCAUUGCCUUUGUCUCUCUCAUUAUUCCUAAAACAGUCAUCAAAAUCAUUACCAUCUAAAGGAUUAUUACUGCUACUACUAGUACCAGCACCGAUAUUAGGAACAUUAGUGCUACUACUAGUACCAGGACCAACACCAAUAUUGUCAACAAUAUUUAACUCCAAGCUCCUUGAAUUAUCUGGAUUAACAUCAUUCUGAAUCUCUAAAUCAUCUUCAGUUCCAUGACACUCCAUCCCAACAUUAUUAAGAUUUUCUUCAUCAUCACUUUCAUCUUCUUUACCGUUUUUCCUUCGUGUUGCACUAUCAAUGACACCAAGCAAAUCAAAGUUGGAUGAACCAUCAUGUUUCUCUCCCUCGGUUAUCCAAUCAUCAUCAGAUGAGAGAUGAU